CACUUUAAACAGCAGAAGCAAUGGGCUAAGGCAAGUUUUUAAAGGGAUACACUACCUAGUUUGCUUCCACAACUACUUUAAUAGCUAAUCUACUAAACUUUGAAACUUUUUCCUAUCAACAGAGUUAUAAAGUUGGGGAGGUAUGGGUGGUGAGUGAUUGGCUCAGGCUAGGAGUACUUGAGAAGGAGAACAAGUUUGACAGAGGGAGGGUCAAGAGCAUAGGUAGAAAAAGGCUUGCAUGUAGGGGAUUUCUGACCAUUUGCCAAUGCAUUGAUGGAAGUUGUAUAAAUCACACAGUAUGUUAAAAUUGAAAGUGCCAUUUUUAGGUCACGGAAACCCAUUAUCUAAUUUAUACUGAGGCCAAACCUGAUUACAAUAGAAAACAAGUCUUUUUGGCUUAAAUUCUGGUCCCAACAAUCUGAGGAGUUUGAGUUGUGCCAGAAGGCAGCUGGGAGGCAUUGAGGGGCAGGAUUUGGAUUGUUGGGCCCCCUUGUUAGAGCAGGUGAGGAGGAGGCAGCUCCCGGGGAGAAGGACAAAGGGGAGAAGCAUCCUUGUCUCCUUUGACAGUCUCCGAGUGAGUGUCCCAGAGGGAGAGAACAAGAGGAGGUGGGCCCAUGGGACGUUUCCCAGGGGCACAGUCCUGGGCCCAGUGGCCAUGGGGGUUUCUCUGACCAAGUGCUUGGAUUUCUGAGAAGUCCCCGGAGGGAGAGAGAAUGAGACAGAGAACCCAACGAGAGGGAGGCUGAACUCCCUACUCACCCAGACAUUGGUGACCAGUGUAGAUGUGUAGCGUCAGCAAUAGCAAAGGUAGAAAGCCCCGGAGGGUCCUGGCAAUGGCAGAUAUGGCCCGUCCAAUGGAGAUAGCCAAAAGGUCAAUCAACCCUGUCCUGCAGGGAUCAUCCAUUAAUGGACCAUCUACCAUCUGAGUCACGGGACCAGAAAUGUCAAGUAAAAGGGCCAAAAACCAAGACCAGACCAGGCCACAACAAGCCUUUAUUAGGGGAAUAGAUCUGCCAGGCUGUCUCUGAACAAAGAAGAGACAAAAGCAAUAUGGCCAGGGCAGGGAGAGUCUUUUAUAGAGACUGAGGUGGGGUUUGUAGGUGCUGAGGUGGGGUUGAGUGAGGUAGUGACUAGGAAAUGGAGGAGCCAAUGAUGUCACUAGGUGCUAGGAGGUGAGCGAGAGUUAGGUUACUUUCUAGGUGGGAACAGGGGCAUGCUGGGAAGAAGGGUUUAUUCUUUGGUGGGAGCAGCCAUCUUGGCAUGACAUCACACAGGGGAGGGGGCAAGGCACAAUAGGAAGAGGGCAGCUACUAUACAUAAUAGGUGCUGAGGUAGUGGGAGACCUAUCAUCUUUAAAAUAUUUCUUGGCUAUAUUCUUCUCUUUCUACUGUUACUAUCUAGUCAUCCUUUUCUUAAAAUACCAAAGUUUCCUUUUAAUGCUUCAAUAUGAAAAAAGUCUAAAAACUUCCAAUUUAAAACCAUAAUGUCUAUUAUAAUUGCAUUAUAAUAUGUAAGAAGGCACUGUAAUUACAAUCUACAGAGAUCUCUAUACCAGCCACAAAGUCUUUACACUAUAAGCAUCCACAAACCUAAGCACAGAACAAACAAAAUUAAACAAAAAAGACAUGAGAAAACCAGUGUAUAAAAUGCCUCUCCAAACUCCCAACUCCUCCAAAGAUAAUCCAGAGGGAGCUGAGAGGGAGAAUGGCACAAGUCACAAACACAAAUUACUUGAAAGGAUAACAGUGGAGGUUAGAAAAGUGAAUCGAAGAAAUUCUCAGCUGGAUCACAGAAGAAAUAACUAAACAGGUAGGAUUUAUGACCCAGGAAUAUGAGUGGCAGUGUGGCCUUAUGAUACAUUCUAUAGUACAGAAGUGUAAUUUUUGCUGCUUAUUCUGUACAGUACAGUACUUUAGUUUUAUGUUUUAUGAAAUGAACUUCAUGCUAAAAUUGAUCAGAAGAUGUCAGGAGAAAUUCUAUGUGAUUUUGGUGAAAAUCAUUUCAUAAUGAAAUCAUGAUUAGGGCCUAGUUUUCCUGUCUACAGUCCAGCUACAGCAUAUGGAGACUUAACUCUGUUUUUGCUUCAGGUCACAGCUAGACCUCAAGGGUCCAGUGAUGCAGUGAUGCUCCAGGCAGGAUUACACCAGCUGGUGACAUCUUAGAGGAACCAAAUAUUCAUCUGCAUAGUUCCUCAUUGUUCAAGGAUUAUCACCACUGCCCUCUGAGUCAACUGCUACUUUUGUUUCUCCUUAGAUGGAAAUCACAAAUCAACCAAGUACAGCUCUGCCAGCAGCCUUGAUAUCAUCUGAUGACAACAGAUGACACAGCCAGCUGGUGGUUACUGCUGACGCCAGCCAUCGCUUGUCCAAUGCCAUAUUGUUCUGGACACUGUAGGUUGAUUCUGCAAGGUAUAAGGUCAUGUCACUCAUCCUUGUCAGCUGUUAUUUUUCCUGGCUGCUGGUCUCUGGAGCUGUUCAGUGUUAAUGAUUCUCUUUAUUCAAUUUGUCCACACUACACAAGAUAAAAAUCCUGAGCUGAUUCACAGAACUUUGAGAGCCCACAAUACCUGAAAAAUAAAUCAAGAGCAGGUUUA